AUUGAACGCUGGCGGCAGGCUUAACACAUGCAAGUCGAGCGAGCGGCGGACGGGUGAUUAAUGCUUAGGAAUCUGCCUAUUAGUGGGGGACCACAUCUCGAAAGGGAUGCUAAUACCACAUACCAUCAGAUGUGCCCCGAUGGGAUUAGCUAGUAGGUGGGGUAACGGCUCACCUAGGCGACGAUCCCUCGCUGGGCUGAGAGGAUGACCAGUCACACUGGAACUGAGACACGGCCCAGACUCCUACGGGAGGCAGCAGUGGGGAAUAUUGCACAAUGGGCGCAAGCCUGAUGCAGCCAUGCCGCGUGUGUGAAGAAGGCCUUCGGGUUGUAAAGCACUUUCAGUGGGGAGGCGUUACCCGAAGAAGAAGCACCGGCUAACUCCGUGCCAGCAGCCGCGGUAAUAC
rnacentral:rRNA from 1 species